AACUAACAAGGAUUCCCCUAGUAACGGCGAGUGAAGCGGCGAAGAGCUCAAAUUUAAAAUCUGGCAGGCUACGCUUGUGCCGAAUUGUAAUCUCGAGAAGUGUUUUCCGCGUUGGCCUGUGUACAAGUCCCUUGGAACAGGGCGUCAUAGAGGGUGAGAAUCCCGUCCUUGACACAGACACCCAAUGCUUUGUGAUACACUCUCAAUGAGUCGAGUUGUUUGGGAAUGCAGCUCAAAAUGGGUGGUAAAUUCCAUCUAAAGCUAAAUACUGGCGAGAGACCGAUAGCGAACAAGUACCGGUGAGGGAAAGAUGAAAAGCACUUUGGAAAGAGAGUCAAACAGUACGUGAAAUUGUUGAAAGGGAAACGAUUGAAGUCAGUCGUGCCUGCCUAGUCUCAGCCUUUUGGUGUACUACUAGGUCGGCAGGUCAGCAUCAGUUUGGGAGGAUUAACAAGGGAGCUAGGAAUGUGGCAACCUCGGUUGUGUUAUAGCCUAGUUUCGCAUUGAUCUUGCUGGACUGAGGAACGCAGUGCGCCCGCAAGGGUUGGUCUUCGGACACAUUCGCACUUAGGAUGCUGGCAUAAUGGCUUUAAACGACCCGUCUUGAAACACGGACCAAGGAGUCUAACAUGUUUGCGAGUCUUUGGGUGGAAAACCCAUGGGCGUAAUUAAUGUAAAUGCAGGUGGGAUGCGCAAGCAGCACCAUCGACCGAUCUGGAUCAUUUAUGUGAUGGAUUUGAG
rnacentral:rRNA from 1 species